UACGUAGGGGGCAAGCGUUGUCCGGAAUCAUUGGGCGUAAAGCGCGUGUAGGCGGCUCGAUAAGUCUGCUGUGAAAGUCCAAGGCUCAACCUUGGGAUGCCGGUGGAUACUGUCGAGCUCGAGUCCGGAAGAGGAGUGUGGAAUUCCUGGUGUAGCGGUGAAAUGCGCAGAUAUCGGGAGGAACACCAGUGGCGAAGGCGGUUGCCUAGAGCUUGCUGACGCUGAUGCGCGAAAGCGUGGGGAGCGAUCCGG
rnacentral:rRNA from 1 species